rnacentral:lncRNA from 1 species
UUCCCGGAAAGAUACACAGUUAUAAUAGAAAAUGAUUUUUGAACCAUACUCAAAAAUACUACAGAAAGUUGCAACCAUGCUGCAGAAUAAGAGUAAAAAUGGUUCAUCUUCACCCAGCAGGAACAGGCUCCCAGCCCUGGGAGCUGUGACAGUGCACUUCAGCCACCACCCACAAUCAGCAACGUGAACAAGGCUCGGCUCAGUGACAGAGAGAGGGAAAGGCAUAAUUUCAGGCUUACACAAGGCAGCAGGGGAGGCGAAAUUCCUAAUCCUGGCAUCAGCCCCGCAGCCAGUGCCAGCCCCACAGCCCUCCAGGUCAGACCUGAGGCUCUCAUCUCACAGGCCUCUGG